rnacentral:lncRNA from 1 species
AUGAAGAACCUAGAAACCACCUCUAAAGGAGACUCCAGCCCCCCCAAACCUGGUAACAUAUUUAGCAGAGCCAGCCAGGAGGACUUUUUUAGGGGCCCAAAUGGGCCUGCCCUAGUAUUUGGGCCUUGGCUCUCUGGGCAGCCUGACCUCUGGUUCCUACCUGACAAGGAUCUCAGAACACCUCAGGGGAAGCAGAAGGAAGCUCCAGCUACCUCAAAGGACAGGAAGGGGAUGCCUAAUUUGGGAAGGUUUGCUGUGGACCAGGCAGGAGUGUGUUGUUAGCUCACCAUAAACUGACCUCCCUGGGUGCCCUUCGUCCUGGUGCCAGUUGGCCACCUUGCCUAUCUUCAGUGCUGAGUUAAGUAGAUGUGUUUCCUGUGUAUGUGGUGGUCAGAGGGAAGAAGUCACUUGUCUAACCUAGACAAGAAGGACCAGAUGAGACGCUUGUUAGGUCACCAAGAUCGGGCUUGUCCAGGGUGUUUGUGUAUGUUUGUGAUGAGAGUGAGGGCAC